UGCAAGUCGAACGGUAACAGGAAGAAGCUUGCUUCUUUGCUGACGAGUGGCGGACGGGUGAGUAAUGUCUGGGAAACUGCCUGAUGGAGGGGGAUAACUACUGGAAACGGUAGCUAAUACCGCAUAACGUCGCAAGACCAAAGAGGGGGACCUUCGGGCCUCUUGCCAUCGGAUGUGCCCAGAUGGGAUUAGCUAGUAGGUGGGGUAACGGCUCACCUAGGCGACGAUCCCUAGCUGGUCUGAGAGGAUGACCAGCCACACUGGAACUGAGACACGGUCCAGACUCCUACGGGAGGCAGCAGUGGGGAAUAUUGCACAAUGGGCGCAAGCCUGAUGCAGCCAUGCCGCGUGUAUGAAGAAGGCCUUAGGGUUGUAAAGUACUUUCAGCGGGGAGGAAGGGAGUAAAGUUAAUACCUUUGCUCAUUGACGUUACCCGCAGAAGAAGCACCGGCUAACUCCGUGCCAGCAGCCGCGGUAAUACGGAGGGUGCAAGCGUUAAUCGGAAUUACUGGGCGUAAAGCGCACGCAGGCGGUUUGUUAAGUCAGAUGUGAAAUCCCCGGGCUCAACCUGGGAACUGCAUCUGAUACUGGCAAGCUUGAGUCUCGUAGAGGGGGGUAGAAUUCCAGGUGUAGCGGUGAAAUGCGUAGAGAUCUGGAGGAAUACCGGUGGCGAAGGCGGCCCCCUGGACGAAGA
rnacentral:rRNA from 1 species